AGUGAACGCUGGCGGCGUGCUUAAUACAUGCAAGUCGAACGAUGAAGUCCUAGCUUGCUAGGAUGGAUUAGUGGCGCACGGGUGAGUAAUAUAUAGUUAAUCUGCCUUGCACUGAGGAACAACAGUUGGAAACGAUUGCUAAUACCUCAUACUCCAACUUUACAUAAGUUAAGUUGGGAAAGUCUUUUCGGUGCAAGAUGAGACUAUAUCGUAUCAGCUAGUUGGUAAGGUAAUGGCUUACCAAGGCUAUGACGCGUAACUGGUCUGAGAGGAUGAUCAGUCACAUUGGAACUGAGACACGGUCCAAACUCCUACGGGAAGCAGCAGUAAGGAAUAUUGUGCAAUGGGGGAAACCCUGACGCAGCAACGCCGCGUGGAGGAUGACACUUUUCGGAGCGUAAACUCCUUUUGUUAGGGAAGAAUAAUGACGGUACCUAACGAAUAAGCACCGGCUAACUCCGUG
rnacentral:rRNA from 1 species